UACGUAGGGGGCAAGCGUUGUCCGGAAUUAUUGGGCGUAAAGAGCGCGUAGGCGGUCCGAUAAGUCGGCUGUGAAAGUCCAGGGCUCAACCCUGGAAAGCCGGCCGAUACUGUCGGACUAGAGUCCGGAAGAGGCAAGUGGAAUUCCCGGUGUAGCGGUGAAAUGCGCAGAUAUCGGGAGGAACACCGGUGGCGAAGGCGGGUCUCUGGGCCGAUACUGACGCUGAGGAGCGAAAGCGUAGGGAGCGAACAGG
rnacentral:rRNA from 1 species